GCACCAUUUACUUUAUCCUUUUCCAUUACUUUUGUUCUAAUAAAGUUUACAUUACAUUAUUAUAACUUCUGUACCUUCCUGAUUUCCCUGACAGUAGAAUUUCACUUUUCCCUAGUGGGAAACAUACCACCCAAGCCUUUAAACUGAGCAAACCUUUGUUUGCGCUUAAAAAAAAGUGAGUACAUCUUGUUAUUUUAUGCCUUUUAACCAGUGUGCACAAUAUUUUAUUUUCU